rnacentral:lncRNA from 1 species
AGAUGUGAAAACAGGAGCAAAGAAAAUUGGAGCAACACGCCUGAAGCUACACAGUUGCAGAGGCAGGAUUUCAACAAAUAUCAAAACUAUGAAAAGACUCCUGUAACUUUCGUCACUCCAAACCUCUGAUGACCCAGCCUAACACCCCAUCAUCACCACCACCACCUCUCAGCCUUCCCGCGUGCCUGCUGUCUUCCUGACUCUGAUAGCAGCGGACACCUGUGCCUGCCAACUCACCCAUACUUCCAGGAUUUCAAUUUAAAUAUGUAUGUGAACCAGAUGGAUAACACAAACGAGUGAGUUGGGUGAACUAUAAAGAUGUUACAGGCAUUGUGGGACCUGAAGU